rnacentral:rRNA from 1 species
AGUCGAACGAGGUCCUCGGACCUAGUGGCGCACGGGUGAGUAACAUGUGGGAAUCUACCUGAAGGUUCGGAAUAACUGCGGGAAACUGUAGCUAAUACCGGUUGUGUCUGCAAAGAGAAAGAUUUAUCGCCUUCAGAUGAGCCCGCACUAGAUUAGCUAGUUGGUGAGGUAAUUGCUCCACCAAGGCUACGAUCUAUAGCUGAUUUGAGAGGAUGAUCAGCCACACUGGGACUGAGACACGGCCCAGACUCCUACGGGAGGCAGCAGUAGGGAAUAUUGGACAAUGGGGGAAACCCUGAUCCAGCAAUGCCGCGUGAGUGAAGAAGGCCUUCGGGUUGUAAAGCUCUUUCAUCAAUGAUGAUAAUGACAUUAGUUGAAGAAGAAGCCCCGGCUAACUUCGUGCCAGCAGCCGCGGUAAUACGAAGGGGGCUAGCGUUGUUCGGAAUCACUGGGCGUAAAGCGUAUGUAGGCGGAUCAAAAAGUUAGAUGUGAAAUCCCUGGGCUCAACCCAGGAACUGCAUUUAAAACUAGUGAUCUAGAAUUUGGUAGGGGUUAGUAGAAUUUCCAGUGUAGAGGUGAAAUUCGUAGAUAUUGGAAAGAAUACCAGUGGCGAAGGCGACUAACUGGGCCAUUUUUGACGCUGAGAUACGAAAGCGUGGGUAGCAAACAGGAUUAGAUACCCUGGUAGUCCACGCAGUAAACGAUGAGUGCUAGUCGCUGGGACAAUAGUUUCAGUGUCGAAGCUAACGCAUUAAGCACUCCGCCUGGGAAGUACGGUCGCAAGAUUAAAACUCAAAUAAAUUGACGGGGGCCCGCACAAGCGGUGGAGCA